rnacentral:tRNA from 1 species
AAAAUUUUAGUUUAAUAGAAAAUAAUUUAUUUACAAUAAAUAGAAUAAUAAAGGUUAUUAAAAUUUUA